rnacentral:rRNA from 1 species
UACGAAGGGGGCUAGCGUUGCUCGGAAUUACUGGGCGUAAAGGGCGCGUAGGCGGACAACUUAGUCAGAGGUGAAAGCCCAGGGCUCAACCUUGGAAUUGCCUUUGAUACUGGUUGUCUUGAGUUCGGGAGAGGUGAGUGGAAUGCCGAGUGUAGAGGUGAAAUUCGUAGAUAUUCGCAAGAACACCAGUGGCGAAGGCGGCUCACUGGCCCGAUACUGACGCUGAGGUGCGAAAGCGUGGGGAGCAAACAGG